UAGUCUCGACAUAUCAUCUGCUAGUCUGAUUCCUGACAAGAAAUGGAAUCGGAGAGAUGCAUGGAGAUCAACAACUUGCCCGAUGCUACUUUUUGGUUUUCACACAGAAUAAUUAAUCUGAAUACUCUUUAUCCAUUGAUAAAUUGGACCAAAGAGAAAAUGAAAAAAGGGAUGAACCAACCAAGCAACUGGUUUCCAUUCCACUAAAAGAAGAAGAUCCUGAGAAGAUGAUCCAAAUUGGAUCGCAGCUACC
rnacentral:lncRNA from 1 species